rnacentral:lncRNA from 1 species
UUUUCUAUAAUAAAGUGCCAGAAACUGAAAGCCAUUUUUUCUUCUUUUCCAAAUCUACACUUAAAUAUGCAAUUUUCUUUUUUCAGUCUCUCCUUAGGAAAACCUAAUAUUUUGUUCUAAGCUUUCGACAACUCAUGGAAUUGCAUUGCAUUAAUCAAGAAAGGCUGCAAGGGGUUUUAGACUCUGAUUUAUACUAUCUUCGUUUUUUUUGGUUAGGGAAUUACAUUGCAUUGCAUUGAACUAAGGUUGACCAAUGACAUAUUCUCUUUUCCUUUUCUGAGAAGCUUUUUAUUCUAGUUGACAACCAUGCUAGAAUUUGACAUUUAUAUAGCCUAUUGAUGUUCCACAUUCAACUCUAUGAUAGGUAUCACUGGUUCUGUAUUUAUCAGCUUAAUUAAUUUGUAAAUAGAAUACAGUAACUGUUAGUAUCUUGUUGUUUAACAUGCCAUUAGUCGUGUUCUCGUCCUUUUUUUUGUGUGGAUAUUUUUGUUUAUGGUCGAACUUUUAUUGAUAUUAAAUGCUAUCGGGAGUCAUAUUGUGGUCUCGUGUUCAAUUUUUUGGUUUUUUUGAGAUAAUUUUGUGUGCUGAUGUCUAGAUAAAAUCAUCAUUUGCUCUAAGAAACAUAGAUACAGACACAGGACAUGGACACGACACAGACACAACGAUAUGUCAUUUUCUUUAAAAAAUUAGGAUACGGAGACGGCAAGGACAUGCGUAUUUUUAAUAUAUAUAAAAUAUUUGAUUAAUAUGAGUUUUAUGAUAUUUAUAUUUAAAAUUUAUGGCACAUUUGGCAUUAUCUACAUAACUUACUUUACUUUUGUUAUAAAUUUUAUACCUAAUCAAGGUAUGCAAUACCGUACCGUACCGGUGUUUCGAGGUUAGCUCGGUACGGUAUGGUACCGUGUAUCGAGUGGUAUACCAGGGCAUACCGAGCGGUAUGUCAGGACAUAUCGAGCAGUACACCUAAUUUUAAAUAUUUCUUUCUCUCUAUUGCAGCACUGUAGCACUGCUAUAGUGUAACACUAUCGCACUGUAGCACGUUAGCGGUCCGCGUACCGGUAUAUCGUCGGAUUGGUACGUACCGUCCGUAUCGGGCGGUACCAUUCGAAAUUGCAUACCAUGUACCUGACUUAUUACUAAUAAGAGACAAUAACAUAAUUUACCAUCAAUAUAGUUAUGUGACAUUGUAAUUUAGGGAAUAUAAAAGGUCAUCAAUUCCUUAAAAAAUGCUAAAUAGAAACAAAAAGCCUUGAGAAGGCUUUAUGUGAUUGUCACGGGUUUAUUGUUUGCGUAUGAGCGAGGCAAUGGAUCAAUGAGAGGGACGUCGAUGGAAACUCAUGAGCGAGGCCGCCAAGGGCGCGAUUGGAUAGGGCCGCCUGAUGGGUGCUGGUGAAGUCAUCGACGGGUCGCCGAGGGUGUGGCCAUGUGGCUGCUGGUGAAGUCACCGACGAGGGUGGCUAAGGGGGCGAUCGCAUAGGUCAUGCGAAGGGUGCUAGUUAAGUCAUCGACGAGGGUUAGGUUGUUGAUGAGGGUGUGGUCGUUGAUAGGUCAUGGUGUGUGCGACGAUGGUUCUAGCCUUCCUGAGGACGGUGGAUGCAGGUGGGCUUGAUUUCCCUCAAUUCCAUGCUUCCCUCCAUCGCAUGAAGAUUAUGCAACAAAGCAUCGCACGUGAGCGUCACGCCAGGAAGGGGGAAUGACACGGGAGAAGCAUCCGACACGGAAACGCUAUGUCCCAAAUAAAAAAUAAUAAAUAAAUAAAAAGACGUGUCUGACCAUGUUGGUGACAUAUUUGUGUUCGACAUGGAUGCGUCCACCAAGUUGAUGUGUCCGUGCUUCCCAG